UACGUAGGGGGCAAGCGUUGUUCGGAAUUACUGGGCGUAAAGAGCGCGCAGGCGGUCGUUCAAGUCGCGUGUGAAAGCCCCCGGCUCAACUGGGGAGGGUCACGCGAUACUGAUCGACUGGAAGGCAGGAGAGGGUAGUGGAAUUCCCGGUGUAGUGGUGAAAUGCGUAGAUAUCGAGAGGAACACCUGCGGCGAAGGCGGGUUGCUGGGCUGACACUGACGCUGAACUGCGAAAGCUAGGGGAGCGAACGGG
rnacentral:rRNA from 1 species